GUAGGUGAACCUGCGGAAGGAUCAUUACCGCGGAGCGGACGGGCGCCAGCGCCCGCGCUUUCACGCCCCUUGCUCACCGACCCCGUUGCUUCGGCGGGCCUGCGGGCUACCCGCCCGCCGCCGGCCCUAGGCCGGCGAGAGCCCGUCCGGGGACCUUGCAAACGCCCUAUCCCGCAGUCGGAGUCGGACCGCGAGCCAACGUACAGCAAAACUUUCAACAACGGAUCUCUUGGUUCCGGCAUCGAUGAAG
rnacentral:misc_RNA from 1 species